CCUACGGGUGGCAGCAGGGGGGAAUAUUGGACAAUGGGGGGAACCCUGAUCCAGCCAUGCCGCGUGUGUGAAGAAGGCCCUCGGGUUGUAAAGCACUUUCAGUGAGGAAGAACGCCUGGUGGUUAAUACCCAUCAGGAAAGACAUCACUCACAGAAGAAGCACCGGCUAACUCCGUGCCAGCAGCCGCGGUAAUACGGAGGGUGCGAGCGUUAAUCGGAAUUACUGGGCGUAAAGCGCGCGUAGGUGGCUUGAUAAGCCGGUUGUGAAAGCCCCGGGCUCAACCUGGGAACGGCAUCCGGAACUGUCAAGCUAGAGUGCAGGAGAGGGAGGUAGAAUUCCCGGUGUAGCGGUGAAAUGCGUAGAGAUCGGGAGGAAUACCAGUGGCGAAGGCGGCCUUCUGGACUGACACUGACACUGAGGUGCGAAAGCGUGGGUAGCAAACAGGAUUAGAUACCCCAGUAGUC
rnacentral:rRNA from 1 species